rnacentral:lncRNA from 1 species
UCUCUCUGUGUGUGAGUGUGUGAAGUGACCCUGGCUCUUGUUUUUCUUUCUUACCCAGAUCUGCACCAAAAACAGCGCGGGGAACCACACUAACCACCCUCACAUGGACUGUGUCAUAACGGGCAGGCCCUGCUGCAUCGGCACCAAGGGCAGGUGGGUGCUCCCGUGUAGCUGGCUCAGAGCAGCACUUUUCUCCCUCAUAAAAGCCCGACAUAACCCGAUUCCCAGUCACAAGGAGUAAGACUGGGCCAGUGGAGGCGGGUGGGUCUGAGAUCCUCCCGAGUAGUGGGCAGGCGUCCGUAGACCUCAGCAGCCUCCAUCUGCCAGGCUGGGCGCCCUCCAAACCCUGGCGUGACCCUCUAGGUGUGAGAUCACCUCCCGGGAGUACUGUGACUUCAUGAAGGGCUACUUCCAUGAGGAGGCCACACUCUGCUCUCAGGUAGGCCUUGAGGGCACGCCCCUCUCCGCCCCCGCCCACUGUGGAGGCUGACCAGCCCCUCUGCACAGGUGCACUGCAUGGACGAUGUCUGUGGCCUCCUGCCUUUCCUCAAUCCCGAGGUGCCUGACCAGUUCUACCGCCUGUGGCUGUCCCUCUUCCUGCACGCUGGGCAAGUGGGACUGGGGGCUGGGCUGGUGGUCUCAUGCCCUAGGAGUAGUGGGACUGGAGGCAAAAGGGAAGCCGCCUUCUCUGCUGAGUGCCCCUCAC